rnacentral:rRNA from 1 species
GACGAACGCUGGCGGCGUGCUUAACACAUGCAAGUCGAACGAAAAGAGGGAAAGAGCUUGCUCUUUCCGGAAUUGAGUGGCAAACGGGUGAGUAACACGUAAACAACCUGCCUUCAGGAUGGGGACAACAGACGGAAACGACCGCUAAUACCGAAUAAGUUCCAAGGGCCGCAUGGCCCAUGGAAGAAAAGGUGGCCUCUACCUGUAAGCUAUCGCCUGAAGAGGGGUUUGCGUCUGAUUAGCUGGUUGGAGGGGUAACGGCCCACCAAGGCGACGAUCAGUAGCCGGUCUGAGAGGAUGAACGGCCACACUGGAACUGAGACACGGUCCAGACUCCUACGGGAGGCAGCAGUGGGGAAUCUUCCGCAAUGGGCGCAAGCCUGACGGAGCAACGCCGCGUGAGUGAUGACGGCCUUCGGGUUGUAAAACUCUGUGAUCCGGGACGAAAAGGCAGAGUGCGAAGAACAAACUGCAUUGACGGUACCGGAAAAGCAAGCCACGGCUAACUACGUG